rnacentral:rRNA from 1 species
AUAAGUGCAUGUGGUGGAUGCCUAGGCGAUUACAGGCGAUGAAGGACGUAGUAGCUUGCGAUAAGCAUGGGGGAGUCGGCAAACAGACAUUGAUCCCAUGAUUUCCGAAUGGGGAAACCCGACCAGCAAUGGUCACUCAGAAAUGAGAGCGAACGCGGAGAACUGAAACAUCUAAGUACCCGUAGGAAAAGAAAUCAACCGAGAUUCCGAAAGUAGUGGCGAGCGAAAUCGGAGGAGCCAUGUAGUGUUAUAGUGACGAGAGAGUAGAACAAGCUGGGAAGCUUGACCGUAGAGGGUGAUAGUCCCGUAUACGAAUUCCGACAUUAAGAACUAAGCUACAAAGAAGUAGGGCGGGACACGUGGAAUCCUGUCUGAACAUGGGGGGACCAUCCUCCAAGGCUAAAUACUCGUAAUCGACCGAUAGUGAACCAGUACCGUGAGGGAAAGGCGAAAAGAACCCCGGGAGGGGAGUGAAAUAGAACCUGAAACUGCAUGCAUACAAACAGUGGGAGCGGACUAGUUCCGUGACUGCGUACCUUUUGUAUAAUGGGUCAGCGACUUACAUUCUGUAGCGAGCUUAACCGAAUAGGGGAGGCGAAGGGAAACCGAGUCUGAAUAGGGCGAUAGUUGCAGGGUGUAGACCCGAAACCGGGUGAGCUAUCCAUGGCCAGGAUGAAGGUGCAGUAACAUGCACUGGAGGUCCGAACCGACUAAUGUUGCAAAAUUAGCGGAUGAGCUGUGGAUAGGGGUGAAAGGCUAAACAAACCCGGAGAUAGCUGGUUCUCCUCGAAAACUAUUUAGGUAGUGCCUCGUGGUUGAUACUUCUUGGGGUAGAGCACUGUUAUGGCUAGGGGGUUAUUGCAACUUACCAACCCAUGGCAAACUCCGAAUACGAGAAAGUAAUACACGGGAGACAGACAUCUGGUGCUAACGUCAGGUGUCAAAAGGGAAACAACCCAGACCGCCAGCUAAGGUCCCAAAUGAUCAAUUAAGUGGUAAACGAUGUGGGAAGGCAUAGACAGCUAGGAUGUUGGCUUAGAAGCAGCCAUCAUUUAAAGAAAGCGUAAUAGCUCACUAGUCAAGUCGUCCUGCGCGGAAGAUGUAACGGGGCUAAAUUGAUAACCGAAGCUGCGGAUAGAACUUAUGUUCUAUGGUAGAGGAGCGUUCUGUAGGCCAAUGAAGGUGACUUGAGAAGGUUGCUGGAGGUAUCAGAAGUGCGAAUGCUGACAUGAGUAGCGUUAAAGCGGGUGAAAAGCCCGCUCGCCGAAAGUCCAAGGUUUCCUACGCAACGUUAAUCGGCGUAGGGUGAGUCGGCCCCUAAGGUGAGGCAGAGAUGCGUAGCCGAUGGGAAACAGGUUAAUAUUCCUGUACCGAUGUAUAGUGCGAUGUGGGGACGGAGAAAGUUAGGUCAGCCAACUGUUGGAAUAGUUGGUUUAAGCGUGCAGGUGUGAGAAUUAGGCAAAUCCGGUUCUCUUUAACACUGAGGCGUGAUGACGAUGAUCUACGGAUCAGAAGUGAUUGAUACUACACUUCCAGGAAAAGCCACUAAGCUUCAGCUAUAUAUUGACCGUACCGCAAACCGACACUGGUGGACGAGAUGAGUAUUCUAAGGCGCUUGAGAGAACUCUGGAGAAGGAACUCGGCAAAUUAGCACCGUAACUUCGGGAGAAGGUGCGCCCCGACGAUGUGUAGACCCUCGCGGUCGAAGCAGUAAGGGGUUGCAGUGAAAAGGUGGCUGCGACUGUUUAUUAAAAACACAGCACUCUGCAAACACGAAAGUGGACGUAUAGGGUGUGACGCCUGCCCG